GCUGGCCAACCCACGUGAUGGCUCUUGAAGCUUCUCUUUUGAAUGGCCUGCUAGGACUUGGGCUCCGGAUUCACUGGCUAAAGCAAGUCACAUGGCCAAACCUGAUUUGGUGGGGAGGGGAGGUGUACCCAGCACUGGAGGCCCUGCACGUCGUGUAGCAAUGGGGCAGGAUGAAUAGUCCUCUCACUGGGAGGACAGUGAAUAACUGGAAACAGUGACCAAUCUGCUACCAUGCACCAUCUUGGUUGCAAUUAUCACUCCUGUCUCUUGCGUGGGCAUGGUGGAUUGGAGGCGGCUGCGGAUUCUUAGUCAUUCCUCCCAGAAAGACAUGGAGUAUUUUUCUCCUCCCCUUGGAUCUGGGCUGAUUCCAGGACUGGCUUUCAUCAACAGGAUGUAGCAGAAGCGACGCUGUGUGAGUUCCCAGGCUGAGGCUGCAGAGAUUUGAGGCAUCUUCUCUCACCCAGCUUGAAGUCCUUCCCCUUGGAAGCCAGUCACCGUGAAAAAACUCACCAUGCUGUGAGGAAGCCCAAGAGAGCUGCAUGGAGAGAAGGGCCUGUGGAAGAGCUCUGAGGUGCCACUCACAUGAAGUGAGCCUUUGUGGACCUUCCAGCCCAGCCACCAGCAAACACAACCCAGAAACCCAGGCCCUGAGGCCAGGUCUACCUGGCUUACCUUGCAACCAAAGGCGAGAUCUUUCUCCGGAACCGGGUCAUUUGUUGGUGAGGAAGAUGGACUUCUGGGAGGCCUGCGCUCACAAGGCUCUACAUCCCGAAGUGAUCUCACCAAGGGGCACAACAGCCUGGAGAGGGAAGUGCCAUUGCUCCCAUUUUGCAGAUGGGCAAGAUGAGGCCCAGAGCCACCAAGCCCCUCUCGAGUUGCAGCUUCUGGGGGCAGAGCAGGAUGUACAUCUGGUCCCGCCUAACUAUACCCAGAGAAACCUGCCGUGGGCCCUUCUCCAUCACACAUGGUCAUCCCACACUAUCACAAAGGUCAGGGGAACCGCUAUGUCUGCAUAAAAACAAGUGUCAUCAGUUGGAUUUGUUCAAGGUGAGGCUUACCUGCUCCCUAAUAUAUCGAAAGCUCCUGUUGAAGGAGAGUCAGGGACAUGCCAGGAGGCCUGCCAUGCUGUGACCAGUUGUCAUCUCACCGAAUCCUCACCAGUACCACGUGGCUCAGCAAGGUUAGGUAACAUACUCAAAGUCACACCGCCUGCCCCCAAAUUAGUCAUGGCAAUCUCCUGUCUUCAAGGUCCAAGUUUUGCUGUUUCCUCAGGGUCAAAACCAAGGUCUUCUCCUGUCCUGGAAGAACAUCAAGCCAUAGAUGGAACUCUGCGUUCCUGGUGUGACCUCAGACAAGGCUCUUUGCCUCCCUGGGCCUCAGUUUUCUCAUCUGCCAAAUGGGAAGGCUGGACUCACUACUCCCUCAGACUCUGUUUAACUCGAGCAUUCUGCAGGGACUCAUCCUGGGGCAGGUGGGGUCAGAGGGCAGAUGGCCAGGAGCAGAGCCAGAUGGGAGCAACAGCCUUCCCUCUGCCAGGACAGGGAGAGACCUGGCUGCCUCACAGUGAGAGGUCUGGCAGCCAGGGAGGGCACUGGGGACAAGGGCCCAGCCGGGCACCCUAUGGAGCACAUGACCCCCACCUGUCCAUGGAGCACACGACCUCCACCUCCAGCUGCCCCUGUGCUGCAGACAACUCCCAGGGUGGCGAGGGUGGCAUCCUGAUCCCAGCAGCGCCUGCAGGACUGGGAACCUGCUGCCCACCCACCCCCUGCCACUUGCUCUCCCUUCCUUGCCCAACCCCAGGAGCUCAAUGCCUGCUCAGGGCAGGAAUAAGAGGCAGAGGAGGGGUGAGGAGAGAAAGGAGUCAUUAGGGGCCUUGCUGAUCCUUCGUGGCGCCUCCAUGUCCCUAUCCCUCAUGCAAAGCACUAACCUGGAGGCGGAGCAUUUCAUCGAAGCAAAGCAUCUCCUGCCACCAAGCACGUCCACGGUAUUGGGGAUUGAUUGCUUCUAUCCUCCAGCCCACUCUACGGAGCACCCACCGUGUGACAGGCGCGGCGCUGGGCAACGAGGAUAAGAAAAUGAAUAGGCCACGACAUGUGCGCCUGAGAAGUCACAGACUCAGACAGGAGACAGGCUCGAUACCACACACCAAGGUCUGGAUGCACACAGGACACUGAGUAACUCCUGCAGGGUGAGCGGGUUUCCAGGGCACUCGACAACCGGCAGAGUCUGGAAGCAGCCUGGAGGGGAAAGGGCAUUCCUGACGGGGGCACAGCAGAAGCAAAGGCCCAGUGGCAUGAAAGACCAAGGAGUGUUGAGGGAACAGAGAGCAGCUUGGUGUUGGGGCGGCAUCAGCGGGUGGAGCUGGAGCCGAUGAGAAAGGAUAGGCCAACUAGGGUUCAAGUGGCCAAGACCUUCUAUGCCCUGCUCUGCCAGUUACAGCCAGCAGUGGUGGUAAGCACAGCCACCCGGCACUGAACAAUGGCAGUGUGGCCGGCACUGUGCUAAGCUCAUCUCAGUCACUCGCUCACCACAUCCUCCAACGAGCCCAUGAGGCCCAGAGAGGUUAGGCGAGUUACUGGUGGUCACACAGCCGAUAGUGGCCAGGCUGGAACUUGGACUCAGGCUCCCAAUUCUCACCCACCAGCAUGUGCUGCCUCUGAGGAGUUUGGGGUUCCCCUUCAGGACAACUGGGAGUCACAAGGGAUUUUUAAGGGGGGUGGGUAGCAGAGUCUCAGUGCCCUAAAUCCCCAAGUCAUGCUCAUGGAGAAACUGCUGCAUCCACCUGGGAGACGUGGCCAGUCUGUUUUUAGGGUCUGAGGGUCACCUUGGCCUCUCCGGGAGCUGCCCUGGUUUCCCCAAUGCUCCUGAGUACUGGGGCUUGGCCUGCGUCUUCUGCCCCAGCCUGCUGCUCCUGGGUUCCAGUCUUGGAGCCAGGGGUCAUCACUGCCAGGGCCUCUUCAGAACUCAGGCGCCCACCUAUCAGGGCCUCAGCCCCUCCAACACUCCCUGGGGCCCCCACAUUGCCCACCCUCUCUUCCCUCUGCCCUUCCUUGCUCGAGAUAACACCUGGGAUGGGGGUGCAUGGGGAAGCGCCCCCUGAUGGAGCUAGACAGCCCUCGGGAGGGAGUUAGACAGCCCUCGGGAAGAUCCAGCAGUGGUGGCCUCUCCUUGCCCUUCCCCAUGUCCUCCCUCUCCCCUCUGCCCACCCAGCCUCCCACCACAUGGGGCACUGGAGUGCUCCUUCCCACCAUCUGCCCUCCUGGGCUCCGCUUUCAUUCUGCUCCCCCGACCCCAGGUCUCAGCAUUGCAGGCAUCACAAGACAGCGGAUUCCAGAGGCCCCAAAACACUUCCAUCCUCCAAGCACGCACUGAGCAUAUGGAGAAGCUGAGGCCCAAGCAGGGCCAAUGGCAGAGCAGCUGGAAGCCCAGCUCUCUUGUGCUCUUGCUGCAGCUCCAGCUCCUGGUCGGCCGUCCACCAGGCAUCUGCUGAGCGCGAUGUGUUUCCAUUUAGGGGCAUCUCACACUUGAUCCUCACUCCAGCCCAGAGGAGGCUGGGUUAAAACAGGAAGGCUGGGCUGUCCAGCUCUAGCUCCUUCUAAAAAUGCAGUGAGUCCCAUGUUGGCAUCUCUGCUUCGCAAACAGGUAAAACGAGGCAAGCAGUAGGUCAAUGACUUGCUGUCUCUGGUCGUGUGUCAGGCAACCACAGUCACACAGUCACGAGGGUCUCCUGUCUGAGAUCCUGCCUAUUCUUUUUUUUUUGAGACGGAGUCUUGCUCUGUCUCCCAGGCUGGAGUGCAGUGGUGCGAUCUUGGCUCACUGCAAGCUCCGCCUCCCGGGUUCACACCAUUCUCCUGCCUCAGCCUCCCCAGCAGCUGGG
rnacentral:lncRNA from 1 species